UACGUAGGUGGCAAGCGUUGUCCGGAUUUACUGGGUGUAAAGGGCGUGCAGCCGGGCCGGCAAGUCAGAUGUGAAAUCCACGAGCUUAACUCGUGAACUGCAUUUGAAACUGUUGGUCUUGAGUAUCGGAGAGGUAAUCGGAAUUCCUUGUGUAGCGGUGAAAUGCGUAGAUAUAAGGAAGAACACCAGUGGCGAAGGCGGAUUACUGGACGACAACUGACGGUGAGGCGCGAAAGCGUGGGGAGCAAACAGG
rnacentral:rRNA from 1 species